rnacentral:rRNA from 1 species
UACAGAGGGUGCGAGCGUUAAUCGGAAUGACUGGGCGUAAAGGGCGAGUAGGCGGUAUGACGAGUCAGACGUGAAAGACCCGAGCUUAACUUGGGAAUGGCGUAUGAUACUGUGAUACUAGAGUGGGUAGAGGGUAGUGGAAUUUCCAGUGUAGCGGUGAAAUGCGUAGAUAUUGGAAGGAACACCGGUGGCGAAGGCGGCUACCUGGACUCUGGACUGACGGCUGAGGAGGCGAAAAGCGUGGGAGCCGAACAGG